rnacentral:rRNA from 1 species
CAGCAGUAGCCGCGGUAAUACAGAGGGUGCGAGCGUUAAUCGGAUUUACUGGGCGUAAAGCGUGCGUAGGCGGCUUUUUAAGUCGGAUGUGAAAUCCCUGAGCUUAACUUAGGAAUUGCAUUCGAUACUGGGAAGCUAGAGUAUGGGAGAGGAUGGUAGAAUUCCAGGUGUAGCGGUGAAAUGCGUAGAGAUCUGGAGGAAUACCGAUGGCGAAGGCAGCCAUCUGGCCUAAUACUGACGCUGAGGUACGAAAGCAUGGGGAGCAAACAGGAUUAGAUACCCGUGUAGUCCCUGUCUCUUAUAC